GAUGAAUGCUGGCGGCGUGCCUAAUACAUGCAAGUCGAGCGAACGGACGAGAAGCUUGCUUCUCUGAUGUUAGCGGCGGACGGGUGAGUAACACGUGGAUAACCUACCUAUAAGACUGGGAUAACUUCGGGAAACCGGAGCUAAUACCGGAUGAUAUUUUGAACCGCAUGGUUCAAAAGUGAAAGACGGUCUUGCUGUCACUUAUAGAUGGAUCCGCGCUGCAUUAGCUAGUUGGUAAGGUAACGGCUUACCAAGGCAACGAUGCAUAGCCGACCUGAGAGGGUGAUCGGCCACACUGGAACUGAGAAACGGUCCAGACUCCUACGGGAGGCAGCAGUAGGGAAUCUUCCGCAAUGGGCGAAAGCCUGACGGAGCAACGCCGCGUGAGUGAUGAAGGUCUUCGGAUCGUAAAACUCUGUUAUUAGGGAAGAACAUAUGUGUAAGUAACUGUGCACAUCUUGACGGUACCUAAUCAGAAAGCCACGGCUAACUACGUG
rnacentral:rRNA from 1 species